AAGGGUAUAGCUCAGUGGUAGAGUAUACUGCUUGGCAUGCACUAGGUCCUGGGUUCAGUCUCCAGUACCUUCA
rnacentral:tRNA from 1 species